CCUACGGGAGGCAGCAGUGAGGAAUAUUGGUCAAUGGGCGCGAGCCUGAACCAGCCAAGUCGCGUGAGUGAAGACGGUCCUAUGGAUUGUAAACCUCUUUUGUCGGGGAGCAAAAGACGCCACGCGUGGCGUUCCGAGAGUACCCGAAGAAAAAGCAUCGGCUAACUCCGUGCCAGCAGCCGCGGUACUACGGAGGAUGCGAGCGUUAUCCGGAUUUCUUGGGGUAAAAGGGUGCGCAGGCGGAAGAUCAAGUCAGCGGUAAAAGUGAUGGGCCCAACCUCUUCGAGCCGUUGAAACUGGUGUGCUUGAGUGAGUGAGAAGUAUGCGGAAUGCGUGGUGUAGCGGUGAAAUGAGUAGAUAUUACGAAGAACUCCGAUUGCGAAGGCAGCAUACCGGCGCUCAACUGACGCUCAUGCACGAAAGUGUGGGUAGCGAACAGGAUUAGAUACCCCAGUAGUC
rnacentral:rRNA from 1 species